GGAUGUGCAUAUGGCAAAGCAGACGACACGCCACUGGAUAUCCGCAUUUGAGCCAGUCGGAGUUCCUUGCGCGUCGAUCAACCGGCUUGACCAGGUGUUUGCUCACCCGCANNNNNNNAGAACUGCAGAUCAAUCUGCCUCAUCCUUCCGGCGCGAUCGCGCCUCUCGUCGGCAACCCGAUCAAGUUUUCGAAAACGAAGAUCGAGUAUUCGAAGAGUCCGCCGCUGCGGGGCGAAGACA
rnacentral:misc_RNA from 1 species